CCUACGGGAGGCAGCAGUGGGGAAUAUUGGACAAUGGGCGCAAGCCUGAUCCAGCCAUGCCGCGUGUGUGAAGAAGGCCUUUUGGUUGUAAAGCACUUUAAGCGAGGAGGCGUUACUCGCAGAAUAAGCACCGGCUAACUCUGUGCCAGCAGCCGCGGUAAUACAGAGGGUGCGAGCGUUAAUCGGAUUUACUGGGCGUAAAGCGUGCGUAGGCGGCUUUUUAAGUCGGAUGUGAAAUCCCUGAGCUUAACUUAGGAAUUGCAUUCGAUACUGGGAAGCUAGAGUAUGGGAGAGGAUGGUAGAAUUCCAGGUGUAGCGGUGAAAUGCGUAGAGAUCUGGAGGAAUACCGAUGGCGAAGGCAGCCAUCUGGCCUAUCUGACGCUGAGGUACGAAAGCAUGGGGAGCAAACAGGAUUAGAUACCCUUGUAGUC
rnacentral:rRNA from 1 species